rnacentral:rRNA from 1 species
CCCUUAGAUGUCCUGGGCCGCACGCGCGUUACACUGAUGCAUUCAACGAGCUUAUAACCUUGGCCGAGAGGCCUGGGCAAUCUUGUUAACGUGCAUCGUGAUAGGGAUAGAUUAUUGAAAUUAUUAAUCUUGAACGAGGAAUUCCUAGUAAACGCAGAUCAUCAAUCUGCAUUGAUUACGUCCCUGCCCUUUGUACACACCGCCCGUCGCUACUACCGAUUGAAUGGUUUAGUGAGAAUUUUGGACUGGAACUCCCUUGCUCAGCAAUGGGCGAGGGGGAGUCCGGGAAGCUAUUCUAACUGUAUCAUUUAGAGGAAGUAAAAGUCGUAACA